UUGACAAGGUACAGUCUUCUUUUUUUUCUUUUUACCCGUCAGAAAUGUUCUCUGUUGUCUUCUUCUGUUUUGUCCAACGUCUGACACACUGCCCUGGGUGAUUGAACCAGAUGUGGAAAUCCAAAGAGGAGAUGCUCCCCCUAAUACCUGACACCUGGUGCAGAUUUGGAAGGGAUUGCACUGCAGUUACACCAACACCCUGGAAUCGGGAGAUGAUUUAAAACCAAAUGUGUUGUUUUCUGGAGUUCCUUCUCAUCUGCAGGCUGCGCUGGGACAGAACAAAAAGCCAACAUCAACACAUAAAGGACAUCAAAUCCUGUCAACCCUGUGAUAUCUGAGCUAGGUGAUCACAAUGCACCUUCGUGUCAUCUGACCCGGAAAUGGGCAGGCAUUAUUUGGACCGAGUUGGAACAUUAUGCUCAAGAGCUGCAAAACAGACCAGAUACAGCUAGAGGCGCAGCGCCGUGCAUGUUUAGUCAUGUUAUCACCAAAAUGUCAAUGUGUUUCACUGGGAUUUCUUAUGAUAGACCAAUACAAAGAAAGAAAAUAAUACAUAAUUUUAAAAAUAUUUCACUUAGAAAAUCUAACACAUAUGCCAUAUGUAUAUUUGCAUUUAGCUGCCUGAGUCAGCUCUUUGUAGAACCACAUUUUGCUGCAGUUUUCAGUGCAACUCUUUUGGAGAAUGGCUCCACCAGCCCUCUCUGUCAACAGAAAGCAAUUUUUGCCAAUUUCUCUUUGCAGUUCGUUUUGGAGCAUCAGCCAUUUUGACGUCGCAAACACUGCCAAUUUACUUUUGAGCUGGAUUUUGGCAAGAACAUGCAAAACCUGAAUGCAUAGGAUUUAAAUUAUUUAUUUGUAGGUCCAGGUGUAUGUUUAGGGUCAUGAUCUAUUUGGAAAAUGAACUUCAGCCCAGCCUCAAGCCAUUAUGGGGUAGGGUGUUUUGUUCCACCUAACGAGUCAAAAAUGAAUGACGUUGGUUUCAUCUGACCAAAGCACCUUCUAUUCAAAGCCUGUUAUGUGACUUCAUGCAGGGUUCUUUCCACAAAGGAUUUCUUUCUGUUAUUCCUUGUUAGUGUUUUUACUUUUCAAGCAUACAACUAAUAGUUUCCCUGUCAGUGGAUUAUCCCUCCUGAGCUGUUGAUCUCUGUUACUCAUCCAGAGAAACCAUAAACCUUUUGCUGCUUUUGAUUAAAGUUUCCCUUGCCAGGCUUUUAAAAUUUAGGAGUAUGGCCAUCUUUUGUUAGGGAAACAGUUAUGCCGCACUCUCCGAGAUUUCCAGAUCUUGGGAAAUUGUUUUAUUUCAUAAUCUUGCUUUCAGCUUCUCCCUUUUAGCUGACCCUUUAAAUUUAGGGUAAUCUAAUUAAAGAAGACUGAAUGCAAACGAAUGCCACACUCUUUUGAUUUUCACUUGGAAAACAAUAGGAAAGCACAAAAAUCCCAUGUUCUUUCCUUGUACUCUGUGUUGAUCUUUCACAUAAACAUCCAAUAAAAUAUAUUCAUUC